rnacentral:rRNA from 1 species
UACGAAGGGGGGCUAGCGUUGCUCGGAUUGACUGGGCGUAAAGGGCGCGUAGGCGGAUGGCACAGUCAGAUGUGAAAUUCCCGGGCUUAACCUGGGGGGCUGCAUUUGAUACGUGUUGUCUUGAGUUCGGAAGAGGGUCGUGGAAUUCCCAGUGUAGAGGUGAAAUUCGUAGAUAUUGGGAAGAACACCGGUGGCGAAGGCGGCGACCUGGUCCGACACUGACGCUGAGACGCGAAAAGCGUGGGGGAGCAAACAGG